rnacentral:rRNA from 1 species
GUUCUCCCCGAAAGCUAUUUAGGUAGCGCCUCGUGAAUUCAUCUCCGGGGGUAGAGCACUGUUUCGGCAAGGGGGUCAUCCCGACUUACCAACCCGAUGCAAACUGCGAAUACCGGAGAAUGUUAUCACGGGAGACACACGGCGGGUGCUAACGUCCGUCGUGAAGAGGGAAACAACCCAGACCGCCAGCUAAGGUCCCAAAGUCAUGGUUAAGUGGGAAACGAUGUGGGAAGGCCCAGACAGCCAGGAUGUUGGCUUAGAAGCAGCCAUCAUUUAAAGAAAGCGUAAUAGCUCACUGGUCGAGUCGGCCUGCGCGGAAGAUGUAACGGGGCUAAACCAUG